rnacentral:tRNA from 1 species
GCGAGAGUGGCGAAACUGGCAGACGCGCGGGAUUUAGGUUCCCGUGCCGCAAGGCGUGAGGGUUCGACUCCCUCCUCUCGCA